CCUACGGGUGGCAGCAGUGAGGAAUAUUGGUCAAUGGACGCAAGUCUGAACCAGCCAAGUCGCGUGCAGGAUGACUGCUCUAUGGGUUGUAAACUUCUUUUAUAAGGGAGUAAAACGAGGCACGUGUGCCUUUUUGCAUGUACUUUAUGAAUAAGGAUCGGCUAACUCCGUGCCAGCAGCCGCGGUAAUACGGAGGAUCCGAGCGUUAUCCGGAUUUUUUGGGUUUAAAGGGAGCGUAGAUGGUUUGAUAAGUCAGUUGUGAAAGUUCGGGGCUCAACCGUAAAAUUGCCUAUGAUACUGUCAGUCUUGAGUACAGUUGAGGUAGGCGGAAUUCAUGGUGUAGCGGUGAAAUGCUUAGAGAUCAUGAAGAACCCCGAUUGCGAAGGCAGCUUACUAAACUGCGACUGACAUUGAGGCACGAAAGCGUGGGGAGCAAACAGGAUUAGAUACCCCGGUAGUC
rnacentral:rRNA from 1 species